AUUGAACGCUGGCGGCAUGCCUUACACAUGCAAGUCGAACGGCAGCACGGGGGGUAACCCCUGGUGGCGAGUGGCGAACGGGUGAGUAAUAUAUCGGAACGUGUCCUGUAGCGGGGGAUAACCUAUCGAAAGAUGGACUAAUACCGCAUACGACCUACGGGUGAAAGCGGAGGACCGCAAGGCUUCGCACUAUAGGAGCGGCCGAUAUCGGAUUAGCUAGUUGGCGGGGUAACGGCCCACCAAGGCGACGAUCCGUAGCUGGUCUGAGAGGACGAUCAGCCACACUGGAACUGAGACACGGUCCAGACUCCUACGGGAGGCAGCAGUGGGGAAUUUUGGGCAAUGGGCGCAAGCCUGAUCCAGCCAUGCCGCGUGAGUGAAGAAGGCCUUCGGGUUGUAAAGCUCUUUCGGCGGGGACGAAACGGUUCGUGCUAAUACCACGGACUACUGACGGUACCCGCAGAAGAAGCACCGGCUAACUACGUG
rnacentral:rRNA from 1 species